UACAGAGGUCUCAAGCGUUGUUCGGAAUUACUGGGCGUAAAGCGCACGUAGGCGGCUUUGUAAGUUAGAGGUGAAAGCCCGGGGCUCAACCCCGGAAUUGCCUUUAAGACUGCAUCGCUUGAAUCCGGGAGAGGUGAGUGGAAUUCCGAGUGUAGAGGUGAAAUUCGUAGAUAUUCGGAAGAACACCAGUGGCGAAGGCGGCUCACUGGACCGGUAUUGACGCUGAGGUGCGAAAGCGUGGGAGCAAACAGG
rnacentral:rRNA from 1 species